rnacentral:rRNA from 1 species
GCGCUAAUAGAUGAGCCCAAACCGGAUUAGCUAGUUGGUAGGGUAAUGGCCUACCAAGGCAACGAUCCGUAGCUGGUCUGAGAGGACGACCAGCCACACUGGGACUGAGACACGGCCCAG